rnacentral:rRNA from 1 species
GGGAUAACACCUGGAAACAGAUGCUAAUACCGGAUAACAACACUAGACGCAUGUCUAGAGUUUGAAAGAUGGUUCUGCUAUCACUCUUGGAUGGACCUGCGGUGCAUUAGCUAGUUGGUAAGGUAACGGCUUACCAAGGCAAUGAUGCAUAGCCGAGUUGAGAGACUGAUCGGCCACAUUGGGACUGAGACACGGCCCAAACUCCUACGGGAGGCAGCAGUAGGGAAUCUUCCACAAUGGACGAAAGUCUGAUGGAGCAACGCCGCGUGAGUGAAGAAGGGUUUCGGCUCGUAAAGCUCUGUUGGUAGUGAAGAAAGAUAGAGGUAGUAACUGGCCUUUAUUUGACGGUAAUUACUUAGAAAGUCACGGCUAACUACGUGCCAGCAGCCGCGGUAAUACGUAGGUGGCAAGCGUUGUCCGGAUUUAUUGGGCGUAAAGCGAGUGCAGGCGGUUCAAUAAGUCUGAUGUGAAAGCCUUCGGCUCAACCGGAGAAUUGCAUCAGAAACUGUUGAACUUGAGUGCAGAAGAGGAGAGUGGAACUCCAUGUGUAGCGGUGGAAUGCGUAGAUAUAUGGAAGAACACCAGUGGCGAAGGCGGCUCUCUGGUCUGCAACUGACGCUGAGGCUCGAAAGCAUGGGUAGCGAACAGGAUUAGAUACCCUGGUAGUCCAUGCCGUAAACGAUGAGUGCUAAGUGUUGG